CUCCCGGGUGGUGCCCAGACGCCGUGAGGAUGGGCCUGUGGGAAGUGCGGCACCUGCAGCCUCAAGGCGGGUGGAUCUGGGAGGCCGUCCUUGCAACAGCAUUUUAACCAGCGGCUGCAGCGUGGCCAAAAUGCGGCUGCUGGUUUGGGGCGCCUCCGUCUUUGGGCACCCAACUUGCGACAUCUGAGGCCUGGUUUCCAGAGGUGCAGAGCACCCACGACUCAAGCUGAAGUCAGUGGGGUUCAGAACCACAGCAAAUCGGGCCCAAGGUGUCUCAGAUUGGGCACCCAUAAUCCAUAGCUGCUGUUGGAAACGUCAGCAUCUGUGUUUGUGGAUGGGUAUAUCCACAUUUAUUACUGUAUGGGAUUGUUAUUGUACAGAAACUUAGCCUGCAAAGAAGAGAUUUAAAUGACACCUUAGGUUGCUACAAUCCAAGGAACUUUUAAAAAUCUAAUUUACUUUUCACUGUCAUGGUGUUUUACUUUUGAUGUUCCUUUCAGCUUGGCCAGUGCAAAUAGAUAUGUGAAUUUCACUUUCUGUCUCUCAUGCACAUAAGAGGAUCACAUAGGGCCCUGUUCUGCAAAAACUUCAAACAUUUAUGCACCUGAGUAGUUGCAUGCUUUUGCAGGCUCAAGAACCCUCAGUGUUUGGGCUGCAGAUUCUGCAGGGUGAUGUUUAAAUCCUGAAGAAAACAUUUUCUCUUAAUGUUUGGUUUUGUAACUUUUUAAAAACAAAAUCUAAAUUUGGGUCCUAAGGUAUCUGACCAAUGUUCCUUUAAUUUUAAUCCCAGUGUAAACUUUGGGUCUGGGGGAGAGAGGAAUGAGCAUUUGCCCAAAGGAAGAGGGCAACUAGGUUUCCUGAUCCGUAAGAUGAGGAUGAUAAUACUCAUAUACCCCACAAAGUGUAUUGUGAAGCCUAAUGUCUGUGAAACCCUUUGAGAUCCUUGGAUGUAAGGCUCCGUGUAAGUAUUCUUUAUUAUUAAUGUCUUGUCUUAAUGUAUUACUAAUCUCAUUCCUCAAGUUAAAGUUUCUAAAAUUAUCGCCUUCCUUAGUUUUGGGCCCAGUUGUGACUCUUAUAGGCUACUAUGGGUAUUUGUAGUAAGCAAAUAAUAAUUCACUGAGCUUUCUCCUCUAUUUCCACUUCCAUGAGGAAGCAGCAUGUAUAAAUUUUGAGUAUCAAAGUAAACAAUAUGAUAUCUGAUAUUAGCUGACAAACAUGUCAGUUUUCCAUGGUGCAUCUAUCUCUGAUUCAGCUUCACUCUAUUUUUCCCCACUGUACAGGAUCAGACUAACCUAUUCCAAGUUCCAUACCAUUCAUUUGAGAUUAGUAUGUCUCAGGGGAAUAAUGUACCUUGGGAAUAAAAAUUUCAGGUACUUUGGUUUUUGCUCCAAAUGGAGAACUCGGAUAUGCUUCAUCUUUCUAUAUUCUCUUUGUUUUUUAUGUUGUUUUUGCAUUAUUUUGGGGCUGUCACAGUUUUGGGGUAAUUGUACCUUUGACCCUCCUAUUGUCUCCCUAUUUGGUCUGUGCAAAGAAUGCCCUUUCAGGCCUCCUACCCACAUCCCUCUCCCUCCUGACCACAAGUUUAGGCUUGAAGUCCCUUUGCAUGUUGCUGUGAUUCUCCCAGCAGGUCUGACUAAGGCCUGGUCUACACUAACAAGACUGGAAGAGAGAGACAAGUUCUUCUUUGAGUGCUGGUCCCUAUGUGUAUUACACUGUGGGUACACGUGUGCUCCACGCACCUGGAGUGAAAGAAUUCCUGAAAGCCGUGUAUGUUGGUCUGCACAUGUGCCCCUGCUCUCCUCAUGCCUGCAAUUGAGGAAAUAAAGGGUGGAGUGGACCGACCACCUGUCCAGUUCCUUCUUACCACAGCUUGACCUGUGUCAGAGCUUUGUCUUAAUUUAUUCUUCUGUCUGUAAAUACAUGUGUACAUAUUUUGUAAAUAGUUUUAGAAUUUUAUCUGAUAAUUUUUAGCUAAGUUUUUCUGGUUGGAUGGAUAGAUAAAUAGUUUUCCUAUCCAGGGGAAUCCCUGUGUUCUCCUCCUCCUCCUCCUCCUCCUCCCCGGUACACUGUUAUGGUUAUUGGACUAUGCCCAGGACUAGGCUUCAAAAUCUGUGCUUCUUGUCCAUGCUCCUUGGUCAGCGACCAUCAGCGCUAUCUGUACUGCCUCUGGAAAGUGCAUGUCAUGCCAAGGUGCAUGUUCUUUACCCAGCCAUAUCUGUGAAGGGUGGGAACUUUGCCUCAAGAAGCACUUGAUAAGACUAUGAAUCUGCAUUUGGCUUCAGGCCAGGGGAUGACACCUCCCUUCCCCUUCCCUCCUUUACCCCCUGCCCCUAGCUCCAGUAUGUCAGCCUGACUCAGGAGUGCAUCUCCUGCCAUGCGGUCCAACUUAAGAGUGAGGGAACCUACCCCCCACAAAUCCCCCUUUGGGGUUUUGUUGGGAGGGUAGGGAGCAUUUUCAUAAACAUGAUAGCAAAUCCUCCUCUAAAUCCACUUCAAAAAAGUUGUAUUUAGCCCUGCCUAAGUCAAACAAGUCUUCCUGCUCAGCCCAUGAGCACUUGGAAUGUCCCAAGUCUCAGGGUCACAACAAGAAAACCCACAGGGCUCUGUCAGUACUAUACUGUGCUCUGGUUGCAGCACUACCUCUGGCACCCACUGAGCCUAAGCUCCGAGAACCAACAGCACUGACAAAAAGGCAACCAUCAAGAGCCUCAGCCAUUGAUGGUACUGGGUCUGCCUUGCCCUAGUGUGGUACAAACAGUAACUGAUCCACUCCCUUCCGUUCAGGCAGACAGGAUCUCUUGCACUCCAUGGAGAACAGAAUGUGAUGCUCCACCUGAUGACAUUUUUGUUCUCCUGGAUCCCCAAUCUCCACUUUCAUCCGUUCCGUCCCUUACAAGAGAGCUCCUGACCACACUAGAAGAUUCAACUUUUGGAAGGAGUCUGGCUCCUAGUCAAUUAUUGAGCAUUGGUUUCCCUCCAGUGUGACUAUUGGUAAUGUCGAUGGAUACAGCAUUGGGGACUAUGGGACCCGUACCACCUUGCAGAGUUGGCAUGAUCUACUAGGGGGUCAGCCCACCUUUCCUCUCCAAGAGGACAGCCAGAGCUUCCUCCUGACCCCAUGGAAGGUGAAGAGUAUGAGUCAGAUCUGGCAGUUUUGCUAGUACUGGUGAGAGUGUCUUUGUCAUCUCCUGAUGAAGCAGUUGCCCCAGUGUCUCCAUCUCCCCCUGAUCACCCAAGACAAUUCCAGGAACUGUUACAUGGGAUUGCAGAGGAGCUACAGAUCCCCCUUGAGGAAGUUCAGGAUCCCAAACACAAACACACAGAUGUCCUCCAUUCCUGUGUUUCCAGCCAAGUAGCACUUCUUGUUAGUGAUGCCAUUUUGGAACAAGCUAGAACAGUCUGACAUUCCCCUGCUGCUUGUGCCACUACCCAUAAGGGGGUGAAAAAAUGCUAUUUUGUCUCAGCCAAAGGGGUGGAAUUUCUUUUUUUUUUUUUUCCAUCUUGCUCUGAAUUUUUUGGUCAUCCAGGCUGCUGUUGAGAGAUUUAGACACCAGCACCCUAGUUCUGCUCAGUCAAUAAAGAAGGUAAAUGACUUGACUUAUUGAGGAGGAAAAUACUCACUUUUACUUGCCUUCAGUUUUGAAUAGCCAGUCACCAAGCACUGAUGGCUAAAUAUGACUGCCUGAACUAUUCUAAAUUAACAGACUUUGUUCCACAAGAGGAUAGAGCCCAGUUUCAGGCUCUCAUUGAGGAAGGCAAGUUGGCUGCCAAGACGGCUUUUCUAUCAGUGGUGGAUGCAGCAGAUACAUCUUCUAGGGCAAUGUCUACUGCUAUUGUGCUGUGAAUCAUCUCUUUAUCCUUCAGGGUUUAUCAGGGAGGUCAAGAACCACUCUGGAGGACCUGCCUUUCGAUGAAACUCAUCUGUUCAACCAGAAGACAGAGAGAAUCUGUACAUACUUUAAAAGACUCCAGGGCUACUCUCUGCUCCCUGGGAAUAUAUACACCUUCCCUGAAGAGAGUUCCACAGGCAAUUAUACAAAGCUAGGCUAAUGGCUCAACAAUUUUUACCACAAAUGAUCUUAUGAGGCACCUGUAAAAGGCAAAUGGUUCAGAAGUCCCAUUUCCCUGUACCUUCUGUGGCAACAUUAUCAUCCUGAUCCCAGCCUCCAUCAAAAUGAUGAUGUCAGUGCCUUCUGAUUUGUGCAUAUCCUUUGAGAGUCAUCUAGCACUCUUUCCACCUCUGGAAGUAACAAUAGUCAAGUGGGUACUAAUCAUCAUCUAUUCUGGCUAUGCAAUUGAAUUACCUCCCUGGCUCCUCUAAAUUCCCAACUCCACUCCUUUUCAGGGGCUAUUCUCAUGAGGAAAUUCUCAAACAAGAAGUAGAAUCCCUCUUGCAGGAAGGAACAAUAGAACAGAUACCUCUUCAGUGCUAACCUUCGAUAUGAAGGAUGAGUAUUUUUCAUGUGGACAUUCAUCUCACUCAUAAACACUUCUUCAGAUUCAUGGUGGGCCCAGACCAUUUUCAAUACAGAGUGCUCCCAUUCAGCCCCCCCCAGGGUCUUUGCAGUAGUAGCAGCUUGUAUCAGACAUGGUGGCUUCACAGUCUUUCCCUAUCUUGGUGACUGGCUUCUUGUUGCCAGGACAUAUCAAGAAGCUCACAAAGCCAUUUCGUCAGCACUCCAAGUCCUCUCUUCCCUAGGAAUCAGCAUAAAUUUGGAAAAGUCUGUACUCCAGUGCAGACUUUAGAAUUCAUGGUGUAUCCCUAAAUUAAAUCAUGGCAGGGGCCUAUCUGCCCAGGAACAGAUUCCACAUGAUGAACGCCUUCAUAGAUCAGAUCAUGAGUCCUCGAACUCCAAUUAGAAUUUCUCUCUCUCCUGGGACAUAUGGCUUCAAGUACUUAUGUCAUGCUAUUUGCCAGACUGUCUUUGUUGUCUGGAAGCAUGGCUUCAGGCAGUGUACUCACCAAGCAAACAGUCCAGGAAUGCUAUAGUAACUGUGUCCAGCAAAGUAACCUCAUCUGUACUAUGGUAUGCAAUCUUUAUGGAUUCGUCCCGUUUAGCACAGGGCAUUUGGACUUCCUGAGAGACCAGGAUGCACAUCAACAUUCUGGAAUGAUAGUCUGGGAAGCUUGCAAAGCCUUUCUCCCAUUAAUUCAAGGUCACCAUGUCUUCAUCAUGUUGGACAGUGUGACGACAGUCUUUUACAUCAACAUGGAUGGAGAAGCGAGAUCCAUUUCCCUUUGUGCAGAAGCAGUCACCCUGUGGAAUUGGUGCAUCAGCAAUUAAAUCACCCUGUUGGAAACUUAUCUUCCAGGGAAUCAGAAAAUGCUGUCCGACUCUCAGCAGACGCUUUGCUAUUGACUACGAGUGGGAGUUGCACAAUUCAGUAGUAUAGACAGUAUUUUUGCUCUCUGGGGAACCCCCACAAGAGAUUUGUUUGCCUCUCCAAAGAACAAAGUGCAACAUAUCCUGCUCCAGAAGGACUCUAAGUCUUCACUCUCAGGGCAACACUUUCCUCCUCCUGUGGUCAGACCAUCUGAACUAUAUCUUCCCUCCCUUACCACUCCUACCUCGGGUCUUACGAAAAUUUGUCAAGAUAAGGCAUGAGUCAUUCUCAUCACCCCCAACUGUCCCAGGUAGUUUUGGCACCCAGAUCUUCUUCUCAUGUCAUCAUGGUUGCCAAUCAACAUGCAGUCCUUUUUUCAAUCUCCUGACUCAGUGGAAAGACAGAUUCAAGCAUCCCAAAUACUCCAUCUCAGCACUUGGUUUUUGGAUGUGCAUCAACUCUAGAAUAUACUUGUUCUGAAUUUGUGCAAAACGUUGUUACUAAUAGUAGAAAAAACUCUACUAGAAAAUGCUGUGCAGCCAAGUGGAAGCAUUUCUCUAUCUGGGCACAACAAAAACUUAGUCCAGCAUGCAGCCUCUGGAGAUGUCGUCUUUCACUCAGAACAGUGGGUCUUUCCAUCAGCUCUUUAUGGGUUCACAUGGCAGAAAUCAGUGCAUACCACCCAUUUUCACGUGGUUACCCUGUUUUCACUCACCCACAGAGUAGCAGAUUCUGGAAGGCCCUAAUCAGAACCUUUCUGCCGGUAAGGAAACCUAUUCCUCAAUGGGACUUAAACCUUUUUCUUCUGGUGUUCACCCAGCUUCCCUUUGAACCACUGGUUAUAUGUCUUUCCUAUCUAUGAAUGUUGCAUUCCUGGUGGCCAUUACCUCAGACAGGAAGGAGGGUGAGUUUGGAGCACUGAUGGCAAAUGUACUUUACACUGUAUUCCAUAGAGACAAAGUCUCAUUGUGUUGACACCCGAAAUUCACCCCCAGAAUAGUUUUUCAGAACUAGUGAAUUAAAUUACUUGUGAUUUUUCCAAAAAGUCCACACAUCUGAAGAAGAAAGGGGAUUUCAUUCCCUUGAAAUGCAAUGAGCCCUAGCCUUUUGCCUGCAAAGGAUGAAGCCAAUCUGAAAGUCUGAUUGUUUAUUGCCAUAGCAGAAAGAGUUUGAGGUCAAGCGGUAUUCUCUCAGAGGAUCUCUAAAUGGAUAUUGACAGAUUUCAGAGUAGCAGCCGUGUUAGUCUGUAUUCGCAAAAAGAAAAGGAGGACUUGUGGCACCUUAGAGACUAAAAUUUAUUUGAGCA